GACGGUCUUGCUGUCACUUAUAGAUGGAUCCGCGCUGCAUUAGCUAGUUGGUAAGGUAACGGCUUACCAAGGCAACGAUGCAUAGCCGACCUGAGAGGGUGAUCGGCCACACUGGAACUGAGACACGGUCCAGACUCCUACGGGAGGCAGCAGUAGGGAAUCUUCCGCAAUGGGCGAAAGCCUGACGGAGCAACGCCGCGUGAGUGAUGAAGGUCUUCGGAUCGUAAAACUCUGUUAUUAGGGAAGAACAUAUGUGUA
rnacentral:rRNA from 1 species